rnacentral:rRNA from 1 species
AGAGUUUGAUCCUGGCUCAGAUUGAACGCUGGCGGCAUGGCUAAAACAUGCAAGUCGAACGAGAAGCGGGCUUCGGCCCGUGGACAGUGGCGAAAGGGCGAGUAAUGCGUUUCUAACGUGCCCCGAGGCCAGGGAUAGCCCAGGGAAACCUGGAUUAAUACCUGAUGACCCCGCGAUGUCGUAUGUCGUUGCGGGCAAAGAUUUAUCACCUCGGGAUCGGGAAACGUCCUAUCAGCUUGUUGGUGAGGUAACGGCUCACCAAGGCGAAGACGGGUAGCGGGUGUGAGAGCACGGCCCGCCGCAUCGGGACUGAGACACUGCCCGGACUCCUACGGGAGGCUGCAGUAACGAAUAUUCCGCAAUGCGCGAAAGCGUGACGGAGCAAUGCCGCGUGGAGGAUGAAGCACCUCGGUGUGUAAACUUCUGUCAGGGUUUAGGAAUACAUGACCAUACCCAAAGGAAGAGCCGGCUAACUCUGUGCCAGCAGCCGCGGUAAUACAGAGGGCUCGAGCGUUAAUCGGAAUCACUGGGCUUAAAGGGUGCGCAGGCGGACUCGUCAGUGUCUUGUGAAAUCCCACGGCUUAACCGUGGAACUGCAGGGCAUACUGCGAGUCUUGAACCCGACAGGGGCAACCGGAACUCUAGGUGGAGCGGUGAAAUGCGUAGAUAUCUAGAGGAACGCCAAGGGCGAAGGCAGGUUGCUGGGUCGGUGUUGACGCUCAGGCACGAAAGCGUGGGUAGCGAACGGGAUUAGAUACCCCGGUAGUCCACGCCCUAAACGAUGUGUACUAGAUCGAGGAAGUUUUGACGCUAUCUCGGUCGGAGCAAAAGUAUUAAGUACACCGCCUGGGGAGUACGGUCGCAAGGCUAAAACUCAAAGGAAUUGACGGGGGCUCACACAAGCGGUGGAGCAUGUGGCUUAAUUCGAAGCAACGCGAAGAACCUUAUCCAGGGCUUGACAUGUACGGAUUAGCUUCCUGAAAGGGAAGUGACGCCUUUGGUGGAACGUACACAGGUGCUGCAUGGCUGUCGUCAGCUCGUGCUGUGAAGUGUCGGGUUAAGUCCCUUAACGAGCGAAACCCUUGCCGCUAGUUGCUAACAGGUUAUGCUGAGGACUCUAGCGGGACUGCCGGUGUCAAACCGGAGGAAGGUGGGGAUGACGUCAAGUCCUCAUGGCCUUUAUGCCCUGGGCUGCACACGUGCCACAAUGGCAUGGACAAAGCGACGCAAGACCGUAAGGUGGAGCAAAUCGCAGAAACCAUGCCCCAGUUCGGAUUGAGGGCUGCAACUCGCCCUCAUGAAGUUGGAAUCGCUAGUAAUCGCGUAUCAGCUACGACGCGGUGAAUACGUUCCUGAGCCUUGUACACACCGCCCGUCACGUCAUGGGAGCCGGUAGCACCCGAAGCCGUACCAAUUCAGGUAUGUCGACGGUGAGAUCGGUGACUGGGACGAAGUCGUAACAAGGUAGCCGUAG